CAGUAGCGUAUAUUAAUGUUGUUGCAGUUAAAAAGCUCGUAGUUGGAUUUCUAGUCGACUUGCGUGGUCCGCCCCUUAGGGGGUGAGUACCGCUGCGUGUCGCCUAUCCUAUCUGUUUGUCUGGCUUCGUGCUGGGCUGACAGGUUCUUUUACUUUGAAAAAAUUAGAGUGUUUAAAGCAGGCUUGCGCAAUGAAUACAUUAGCAUGGAAUAAUAACAUAGGACUUCGGUCUCUAUUUUGUUGGUUUCUAGAACUGAAGUAAUGAUUGAUAGGGAUAGUUGGGGGUGCUAGUAUUGAGCGGCCAGAGGUGAAAUUCUCGGAUUCGCUCAAGACUAACUUAUGCGAAAGCAUUCACCAAGGAUGUCUUCUUUAA
rnacentral:rRNA from 1 species